rnacentral:rRNA from 1 species
AACGUAGGACACAAGCGUUAUCCGGAGUUACUGGGCGUAAAGGGCGCGUAGGCGGGUCGGUACGUCGGUCGCUGAAAUCCCCCGGCUUAACCGGGGACGUGGCACCGAUACGGCCGACCUGGAGGCGAGGAGGGGGACCUGGAACGUCCGGUGGAGCGGUGAAAUGCGUUGAGAUCGGACGGAACGCCGACGGCGAAAGCAAGGUCCUGGACUCGUACUGACGCUGAGGCGCGAAAGCCAGGGGAGCGAACGGG